UUUGGAUUGGUCCAUUUUAUCUCCUUUUUCUCAAAUACAGGAGAAGACAGAUCAUCAUCAACCAGCAAUUGUGACUAUCUACAUAUUCACAUAAGGAUUUCCCAACUUGGGGUAUUUUUGUCAAGUUGAGACCAGGCAUCUUGGAGUUAGGUUCCAUCAGGUUACUGUGACUGUCAUCUAUAGCCUCCAAGGGAAAACAACUCACAAGAGUCAGCCUGGGACAUAUGAGAAAGAGAUGCCAGUCUCCUACCUCUUGUUUCCUCACUUGAAGUGCAACCCAUUUCCAACCAUCUUUUCUUUCCAACUACUCAAGGUCCUGCUUUGAUUUUUCUAUGCACACAGCUGACAUAUGCUGGGCCUAAGAAAGGGAGGCUGCAGGACUGGACAUGCUGGUUUGCUAGGGAACCAGCGAAUCCUCUGUGAAGCUUGUCCAGUGAAGACCCAAAUAUUUACAAAUUAUCAGGAAAGAACUCAUUCUCUUUCCCUCUGUAUAUUCUGU
rnacentral:lncRNA from 1 species